rnacentral:rRNA from 1 species
UCCUGGGGCUGAAGUAGGUCCCAAGGGUAUGGCUGUUCGCCAUUUAAAGUGGUACGCGAGCUGGGUUUAGAACGUCGUGAGACAGUUCGGUCCCUAUCUGCCGUGGGCGUAGGAUGAUUGAUUGGGGCUGCUCCUAGUACGAGAGGACCGGAGUGGACGCAUCACUGGUGUUCCAGUUGUCUCGCCAGAGGCAUUGCUGGGUAGCUAAAUGCGGAAGAGAUAAGUGCUGAAAGCAUCUAAGCACGAAACUUGCCAAGAGAUGAGUCAUCCCUGACUUUAAGUCAGUAAGGGUUGUUGUAGACUACGACGUAGAUAGGUCUGGUGUGUAAGUGUAGUGAUACAUUGAGCUAACAGAUACUAAUUGCCCGAGAGGCUUAACU